AUGGCGACCGGCGCACGGGUGAGUAACGCGUAUCCAACCUACCCAUGACUAAGGGAUAACCCGUCGAAAGUCGGCCUAAGACCUUAUGUCGUCCGAAGCAGGCAUCUAAUUUGGAUGAAAGAUUAAUUGGUGAUGGAUGGGGAUGCGUCUGAUUAGCUUGUCGGUGAGGUAACGGCUCACCGAGGCAACGAUCAGUAGGGGUUCUGAGAGGAAGGUCCCCCACAUUGGAACUGAGACACGGUCCAAACUCC
rnacentral:rRNA from 1 species